AGAGAAGUUAAAUGACUUGCCCAGAGUCACACAGCCAUCGGUCCAGCAGCAUCCCAGGAGUCCCCUGAAUCCUGCCGCUUGCCCGUCGGCUCGCUGUUGUGGCCCGCUCGAGAUGCGAGAACUAAAACUUCAGUCAAUCAAUGAAACUCCCAGAGAUCCUUAUCCUUUUCCCUUCCCUGCUGGUUGGAGGAAAGCAAACCGAGCC